rnacentral:rRNA from 1 species
UACGUAGGGGGCAAGCGUUGUCCGGAUUUAUUGGGCGUAAAGAGCGUGUAGGCGUCCUGGAAGGUCAGCUGUGAAAACUCGAGGCUCAACCUCGAGACGUCGGUUGAAACCACCUGGCUAGAGUCCGGAAGAGGAGUGUGGAAUUCCCGGUGUAGCGGUGAAAUGCGCAGAUAUCGGGAAGAACACCCGUGGCGAAGGCGGCACUCUGGGACGGUACUGACGCUGAGACGCGAAAGCGUGGGGAGCGAACAGG